UACGUAGGGUGCAAGCGUUAAUCGGAAUUACUGGGCGUAAAGCGUGCGCAGGCGGUUGUGCAAGGGAGGGGUGAAAUCCCCGGGCUUAACCUGGGAAUGGCAUUUGGGACUGCAAGGCUGGAGUUUGGCAGAGGAGACUGGAAUUCCCGGUGUAGCAGCGAAAUGCGUAGAUAUCGGGAGGAAUACCGAUGGCGAAGGCAGGUCUCUGGGCUAUAACUGACGCUCAUGCACGAAAGCGUGGGGAGCAAACAGG
rnacentral:rRNA from 1 species